UUUGCGGGUGUGUUUGGUAUAAGAAUUUGAAUUGGGCGUAUUGAUUAACUAUUCAUGUAUUUACAUGCCUACUAAGAUACUUGUAAGAGAUCUUUAUAGUGAGCGGAGCAAAGAGCCGUAAUUAUCACCUUUCUUUGUCACAGCAAAGCGAUAACAUGGCUAUAUUUUCCGUUAGAUAUCAAUUCUGCAGAGUCUAAAUUCGAAUUCAAUAUUACAAAUGACCUCUGAAUAAUUAAAGUUAAAAAUGCACUUAAGACUAUACUCUGAAGGUCUGAGCAGACGCUUAAUGCAGUCAAGGGCAAUAAGUCUUCGCCUUAACGUUAUAACUGGUUCAGAUUAGAAGAUUUAAGCCCAUUGUUUGAAUUCGAGACGACAUAAAAUCAACAAAGUUGUCUGUUCACGAUUACAAUUCGACAAGACUCCAUGGCGACUGAAGCCUAGAAGAAAACAGGGUUUUUACAAACGCUGUACGGAAGAAUAAUAUCAAAACACUACUUUACAGAGGAAGAAAUAAAUUCAUCGAAUGACAGGCCAUUGCACCUGUCACUGUGGAAAACAACAGAAAGACUUAAGAAUCUUUUCAAAUUAAGAGACAUCUAUACCAUCUAUCAGUCAAGAGACUGAUAAAACAACGUCAAUGAAGAAACCUGCACAGCCGUAACCAAGAACAAGAAAAGCAAGCCCUGCCAUUAUUUUGAACGGAGAGUUGACUUGGGGAACGAAAACAGUUUGCGGAGUAAAAAGCGGAUUAUUGACAAAAGAAACGGGUUAUUUACAUAAGAUUUGCAGUGGAACUCCUACAGCGUUCACAAAGAAUAAUAUUAGAAAAUCGGUAAUAUUCAAGAAAAAGGACUUGCAGGUUAUAAAACCAGAAACAUUUAAGGAAAUACCCGUUUAUUUUAAGCGGACAUUUGCAUUCUUCAGCUUUUAACAAUUAUUGAAGACUUGCCAAUAUACAGGGCCUCGCAGUUAUUUUGUAUUGACAUUGAAAACGAAAAAAAUAUAUAUUUGUGAUACAUACGGUUCGUCCCUGUUUUGCUUCUACCACUUACGGGAUAACAGAGACAAAAAAUGGGGAACUAUGGUAAAUUCUGGUCCAGUUCACAACUCGCGAGAUGUUGUUAAAUUAUGCUUGAAGACAUUGGGAACUUAUAAUCGCCGCUGUGAACGACUUGAGUCGCUAGAAGUUUUAAUUUACACAAGAGUGGAUGGUCUUAAAAAGGUUUGAGCAAAAGAAAAGAAAUUAAGCUGAAAACCCUAAAAAUGACGUAUCGCCAAAUCCCACUGUACUUCCUUUUCGGUGCGUUAUCGUUCGUAGCUCUAUUUGUAAUUUGUUGCAUGAUUAAUGUUGCUUGUCCAUACGAGAAAGUGAGACAGAAACUCGCCUUGUGCUUCGGGUACAAGAUCCAUGACAACACGGCUCUGAGAGAGCGGAGAAGAUUGAUGAAAAGAGAGGAAAGUGACGAUAGCGAGGAGGCUUUUUAUUCGCGAAGAGUGCACCCUAUAUGAAAACAGUGGAGGAAAGAUGUGCGCAUAAGUUUAAACAGACUUUAAACAAGAUUCAGAAAUAAGAAGGCAUAUGACGAUGUGGAAGACCACAGUCAAAUGAAAGUCAAAAGGAAAGAAGUGCGCAGUUGAAUUUCCAUGGUACAUACAUGUAGCCAAAUUUGAAUACACAAGCUCUCUAAAAGUUUCUUUAUGAUUAACCAUAUAAAAGCAAAUACUAUAGCAAACAUGAUAAAAAAGAUUCAAUUAUAUUAUAUAGUCAUUAGAGUACUACAUCUUAAUGGAUAUUAUAUCUAAAUAUCAUAUAUGGGUGAAUAACAUAUCAUAUUAAUUUGGACAUUUUAUGGAAAAGGCCGGUAAAAUACACUUAUUCAGUACACA